rnacentral:rRNA from 1 species
GACGAACCGUGCGAACGUUGUUCGGAAUCACUGGGCUUAAAGGGCGCGUAGGCGGGCUCGCAAGUCUGCGGUGAAAGCCCCCGGCUUAACCGGGGAAGGGCCGUGGAUACUGCGGGCCUCGAGGAGGGUAGGGGCGUCUGGAACAGUAGGUGGAGCGGUGAAAUGCGUAGAGAUCUGGAAGAACACCAAAGGCGAAGGCAGCGUCCUGGGAAGUGACUGACGCUCAUGUGCGAAAGCUAGGGGAGCGAACGGG